rnacentral:rRNA from 1 species
AAAGCUCGUAGUUGGAUUUCUGUUGAGGACGGCCGGUCCGCACUAUGUGCGUGUUUCUGGUUCGGCCUUGGCAUCCUCUUGAGGAUCUUUCCUGCGCUUGAUUGCGUGGGGCGGUAUUCAAGACUUUUACUUUGAGGAAAUUAGAGUGUUCACGGCAGGCAAGCGCCUUGAAUACAUUAGCAUGGAAUAAUAAUAUAGGAUCUUGGUUCUAUUUGUUGGUUUCUAGGGCUAAGGUAAUGAUUAAUAGGGAUAAUUGGGGGCAUUUGUAUUAACGCGUCAGAGGUGGAAUUCUUGGAUUGCGUUACGACAAACUACUGCGAAAGCAUUUGCCAAGGAUGUUUUCAUUGAUCAAGAACGAAAGUAUGGAGAUCGAAGAUGAUUAGAUACCGUCGUAGUCUAUACCAUAAACUAUGCCGACUAGGGAUUGGAGGUCGUUCUUUUUAUGACUCCUUCA